CCCCUCGACUACACCCGGGGUCUCUCCUUCCUUCCUCCUCGGGAGGAGCCCGACUGGGAGACGCCGUGGGGACUACCCAUUUCCAGCCCGCUAACCUUUCCCAUGCAGCAGCCCCUGCUUCACUCACUGAUCACUCCUUCGCGAGACCAUUAGUGACUGAGAGCACCUAGCGCGUGGUGUGUCAGGAGCUGGAGAUCGAGCCUUGAACGGAGCAGGCCUUGUCCACAGGAAGCUUACAGUCUGGAGAAGACAGAUGAAAGACACGAAGAAGCCAAAUGACUUGCCGAGGCUCCAGGGCAGCGCUGUCCAGUAGAAACAUGAUGAGAGCCACGUGUGUCGUUUCUUAUUUGACUCAGAGGAACUGACUGCUUCCGUUUUCCCAGAAUUCUAUCAAAUAUUUAGCAAGUGUCCACAUGUACCCAAGCGACGCACAUUCCUUACAUAGAGGAAGGUGGCAGAGAUCCUUCAAUCCAGACUGUGAAGAAAACCCUUGAGUUAAGACAUUAGACAUCUAUGCAACUCAUAACUUCCAUCAUUCCAACUUGCAGUGCCUCCAUGGUAAGUAAAGAAGGCAUGCCACACCCAGACACCUGGUCUGCGAGCACGGAAGGCUUCCCUGUCCUUCCCCUCUGGUAAACUGCAGUUCCCUUCGUAAAGAGAAGAGAAGUGACCAUCUGAAGCCUAUGAACUGCUGUCCUUUAUGAGAAGGCUUUCUUCUGCUCAUCAAGUUAGAAGAACUGUAAGGACGGAGGACUUGGAGUCUCUAGUCAGUGCUGUCCAGGAGAAAUUUCUGUGAUGUGGAAAUCUUUAUAAUGGAGCUGUCCAAUUUGGCAGCCAUGAGCCACAUGUGGCUACUGAGCACUUGCAAUGUGACUGAGGAAUUGAAUUUUCUUAAACUUUUAAUAAUUUAAAUUUAAAUAGCCACAUGGUCUAGUGGCUACUAUAUUUGGACAGUACAAGCCUAGGUUAUAGUAGUAGCUAACAAUUAGUGAGCAUUUCCUACGUUCCAGGUACUAUUUUAUUUAGACCUUAAGUAAGUCUUUGAGGUCAAUAUUACUAUCAUUUUACAGAGGAAGAAGCAAGCAGAAAAAGGUUAAAUACUCUGCCCAGGAUAUUCUGCUACUACGUGGCUAAUAUUUGAGACUUAAACCCAGACAGUCUUGACUCAAUGGCUCUGCUGCUAACCCCAACUUGCCUUCAGGGAAGGGACCAUUCCAUUUUGCAUUUCCAGAGAACUUCUAUUGCUUCUAAGUCCCAUAUAUCUCCAAAAUCGAACAGGAUGCUUAGGUUUAAAACAACAAAACUCCUUAUACUACUUACCUAUUGUAUAACAAUAGGGUGUCAACACUUUUGGAGCAAAAUAUAAUCUUGCUCCUAAAAGGUUAGUCAGCCCAAUCUUCACAUAUCUAUAAAGCUGAGAAUCCACAGGGGUCUCCAGGGAACAGCAUGGGGUAAGAAAUGACUUCACUUGAUAUUUAGGAUGGAGUUUUGGACCCUAAAAAAUCAUAAGUGCAAAUGUGAGAAAGAAAAAUAAGAUAUAACAACAGAGAAUAAAUUGAAGGUUACCUAGGUAGAAAAGUUUGAUAUAACAUUACUUUAUAGGCAUGAUACUUUUCCAGGAAUUGGGACAGGCAUCUCUCUCAAAAUGACAAUGCAAACUUCUCUUGUUACAGUGCAAGUCUAAUAGUUCAAAAUGUCUUUUAUAUGUGUUUUUACAGUAGUCACUGGUUACCAUAAACAGAAAGAAAAGUAAAGAAGGAAGGUAAAAAGGAGUGAGGAGAGAGUGAGAAGAAACAUAAUAAUGCUAACAGUUCAAGAAACAUUUUUAGAACUGAGAAUUGUCCCAAGGGUCUUAAGUACACACAACUAAAGUUUUCAACACAGGUUUAAUUUCUCUAAUCUGAAAAUCCAAAAUCCAAAAUGCUCCAAAAUCCGAAACCUUUCAGGCACAGACAAGCUGCUUAAAGAAAAUGCUCAUGAAGCAUUCUGGAUUUCAAAUUUUUGAAUUAGGGAUGCUGAACUGGUAAAUAUAAUGAGAAUAUUUUAAAAUAUGAAAAAAUCUGAAAGCUGAAACACUUCUGGUCCUGAGCAUUUUGGAUAAGGGAUACUCAAUCUGUAAUGGAAAAUGUGAUAUAAAUGACAUUCCAGUUUAGGAAGAAAAGGAGAGCAAUAUAAUAAACGAUGCUGGAGAAAAUGGUUAUUUAUUUGGAAAAGAACUAAAUUAAACUUCUGUCAUCCAUUACAGACGCUAAUAAAUUCCAGGUGUAC